rnacentral:lncRNA from 1 species
GGGGGAGAAUGGGCAUCCCACCCCAGCACUUUCUAGGAAGAAGGGCAGCAUUUUGAAGGGCUGGAAGUAGAGGAAGGAGGUUGCGGGUAGAAGACUCCAUACUUUCUGUGACGCCUAUUCCUUAGCUUGUGAUGAAUGUUUUCUCAGUAUCCUAUGCUGAAAACAGGUAGAUACUAAUAUCGAUCUUCAAGGGAGGGCUGUUGAGUAUUGAAUAAGACAAAAACAUGGAAGCAAUCAGCACCAUGCUGGAGAGCCUUUAUAUAACCAAAGAUAUUUUUGGACCAUGAAUUCAGAAAUUCUCGGAGCCACCCAUCAGUGCCUGAGCUUCAGUGAGUCCAUAUCCCAUGUCACCCACGGCAAAGGAGACUCUAAGACUUCUGAAGAGUUUCUUGCUUCUUUCCUGUGGGGCAGUGACUCCACUUCCCAGCAGUAAUGGAAUAUCCUGAAUUAGCUACAUUAAUGUUAGAACCAUUUGGACCUCACCCAGGACUUCAACUACAUUAUGCUAAAGUUACAGAACCCAAAUUUGGCAACUGUCUGCAUCUGAACAACAGAAGUUUCAACAUUCUGCCAACAGAGUAACUCCUGGACGAUUGGCACAGAAGAAGGCACAAGGUUCUAGUAUGUUACGUUUAUGUUCCCCUGCUUUCUACAAUCCUGUUCAAAGAGUUGCUGACUUAACCACAGAGAGGAUUCCAGAACCUGAGACACAGAAUAAACUUGAGCAAUCAUAGUCCAUCCACUUCAUUGUCUCAUCAAAAACCAAAGGUCCAGUGAAGCUCUGGAACUCAACGCUGUAAAGGAGCGAAGGAGCUUCUAUACAGAGCCUGGAUGCCUGUCUCCUUAUCCUA